rnacentral:misc_RNA from 1 species
GUAGGUGAACCUGCGGAAGGAUCAUUACCAAAAUAUCCAAUAUCAACCCCAUUUUGUGAACUUUUAGACCGUUCUUUGAGGGGGAGGGAAACCUUCCCCUCAAUUGUAUAUACUAUUCUCCGAAUGUAUAUACAAUACCUAUACAAACACCAAAAGCCUUUGUGCAUAUAUAUAUUUUUCUUCCUAUAUUGUAUCCACAAUGUUAUUUCUAAUAAGAAACAACUUUUAACGGCGGAUCUCUUGGCUCGU